UCAAUUAUCAAACUUUACCACAUUCCCAUCAGCUUGUGUUUGUGAAAUAGGGGAAAACUGGGCCAUAGGAUUUUCCUCAUCCCAAUUUCCUCUCUCUCUCGCGCGCUCCCUCUCUCCCUUUGUUCACUUGUGCAUUCCGUGAGUAAUUGUAGUGGAGGGCAGUCAAGCUGAUUGGGUCGGAAAAUCCACCUUAUUCCCAGGCUAACUCCCCGGAUAAUGCUGCUGAUCCUUCCAGUUCCGACCCAAGACCAGCACCACAUUCACCCAUGGCUUGGACGUGGACGCUUGUCAACAAGAAACAGGAGCCUCAUACUUCGAGUGUCGUCCUCCCUUGACAAUGAGAUUUUAUCAUCCACUUCUUCAGCUGUCCUGCAUAAUCUGCACCACUACCCGCAGUCUCUUACCUAUUGGCAGAUACUGCAGGAAACUCAUUGGCCAGUUACUAUACUUCUCUUGGUCUCUUUAUUAUUUCCGUUCCUGGCCUUUGGUCCCUUAUCAAGUGCUCAGUUAAAUCUAAGUUACCAAACUGUUAUGUCCAUUUUUACUCUGGACUAUACCAAAAUGCGAUACAGGAAGCAUGGUUGGCUAAGUUUAAAAAGUUCUACUCAUAAGUUCUAAAGUAACUUUUUACAUCGAUCAAAGUGAGAUAUAAGUAAGCUAUUCAUUUUGACAUAAUGAUAGAUUUACUUACAAAAUAAGUUUGUUUUUACUAAAGUAAGACAAAAUCAAGUUAUCCCAUAUUCGGAAAUUCGACGUUACUUAAAAGUAACUUUUACGUAUUUUAAGCUUUUCAAACAUGCUUUUAUAGGUUGAGAGUGAUUUUAUUUUCUUCAUCUCUGAUACGUUUUUUGAUUUUGCUUUACUUGAAACUAUCCAAAUUGCCUUUUCAUUCUAAGAACAGAUUGUGCAAAAGACAUUCAUAGGAGAAGGGAAGGGGGAGAAGGCUCCUAACCAAGUGGAAGGAGAAAUUCUUUCAUUCUUUACUUGAAAUAAUUUUGUGGUGUUGGAUAGAGGAGAUUCGAUAACGUACUAUGGUUCCAAGCCGUGGCCAAGCAGCAUUGCUCACUUUUUGUGCCAGCACAAGUCUGGCAAGUGUUGCCCUUGUUUUGACAAUUACUCUUCCAGACAUAGGAAACAAUUGGUUCUGGUUGACUAUAUUAAGGUCCUGUUUGACCCACAUUCUUUCCAAAAAAUACAUUCUUAAGUAGUGGUUUGAUAUCAUUUUAACCACAUAUUCUUCAAUAAAAUAAUAUUAAACACAAAUUCUGAACUUUUCCUUAUUUUUAACUACAUAUUUUUCAUCAAUACACUAUUCAAAAAUGCAUUUUAUAGAAAUAAUGUGGCUCAAACAAGGGCUAAGUCAUCUAGCGUUAGUUAUUUCCUCUUGAAACCGAGACUACAUUGUCUAACAUGUAAAAUGGAUUUGGGGAGUGUAUUAUUGGAUGAAAGCAUCUAGAAAGGAGCGGAUCAAGGUCAAAAUGAUAGUAGGAGAUGAUGGAACCCUGUCGGAGAUAAUUGUACAAGGUGAUGACCAACAAGUGGAGCAAAUGAGAAAGGAGCUCCAGUUCAGUGAAAAAGGCAUGGUUUAUGUGAAGGGCAUUUUUGAAAGCUGAAAUUAGAUGUCAUCUCAUGUCUUAGGUUGUUCUUUGUUUUGAUUUCUCAUAAGAAAGUUUUGAUGUGUAAUUUGUGUAUAAAUAUGUAUGUCACUAAUGUUCUAUUUAGAACGAGCACAACAUGAAUUCUUAUACACAUUUCA